AGGAAACCGAGAAGGCAUUGAUAGAGAGCCAAACCAACAACAAGCGAGGAGAAAUCUCGUUUAGAAUCCGAAUCAACAAGAAGCAAGGAGAAAUCUCAUUUAGAAUCCGGCAUUGACUAGGGCUCUAUUUCAGGCCAGUUUUCGGUGCUAACUUCUUAUCCAUUUCAUUAUGCACAAUCACAUGAAGAUUUUUUCGAUGAGUUGCAUGAGCAUUUACUUUUUGGAGAUCAGUAUCGAUAUUCGAUUAAAAAGAGAGAUCAUCCUCCUUAGGUGAAUCAUAUCCUUGAGGAGAAGCUGCAGUUUCAUUGUUAUCAAUUGUUGAAUUUCAAUAAUUGAUUCUUCAAAGAGAUCGCCUCCCGUGGUAUGAGUUCAAACGCUUAGCAAAGAAUAGAGAUAUGAUAUGGAACCUUUUUGGUAUCAGGUCGACUGCAGCCAUUUGUGUUUUGUCCACUCCACAUAGUCAAAUUUUUCUCCCACCCCGGAGACUCGAUACAUCCUUUAUUUUUAUGUUUUGUUAUUGGGCUUGUAAUAUUGGAUUAGCCCGAGACCGUUUACUUUAUAGGUUUGUUAAUUUCUCUAUUUAUAUGGCUUGUAUGGAACAUGGAAAAAUAGUUGAUGAGAUAAAUUAUUGAAA